GACGAACGCUGGCGGCGUGCCUAACACAUGCAAGUGGAGCGACGAACCAGGCUUCGGCCUGGGGCAAAGCCGCGAACGGGUGAGUAACACGUGGGUAACCUGCCCUGAUGAUUGGGACAACCCGAGGAAACUCGGGCUAAUACCGAAUGUGCCCUCCGGCCUCAAGGCCGCUGGGGAAAGGAAGCUUCGGCCUCCGCAUCGGGAUGGGCCCGCGGCCCAUUAGCUUGUUGGUGAGGUAACGGCUCACCAAGGCGACGAUGGGUAGCUGGUCUGAGAGGACGAUCAGCCACACUGGGACUGAGACACGGCCCAGACUCCUACGGGAGGCAGCAGUGGGGAAUCUUGCGCAAUGCGCGAAAGCGUGACGCAGCAACGCCGCGUGGGGGAAGAAGGCCUCGGUUGUAACCC
rnacentral:rRNA from 1 species